rnacentral:rRNA from 1 species
UACAGAGGUCUCAAGCGUUGUUCAGAUUCAUUGGGCGUAAAGGGUGCGUAGGUGGCGCGCUAAGUCAGGUGUGAAAUUUCGGAGCUUAACUCCGAAACUGCAUUUGAUACUGGCGUGCUUGAGGACUGGAGAGGAGACUGGAAUUCAUGGUGUAGCAGUGAAAUGCGUAGAGAUCAUGAGGAAGACCAGUGGCGAAGGCGGGUCUCUGGACAGUUCCUGACACUGAGGCACGAAGGCCAGGGGAGCAAACGGG